CAAGUCACGUCUUGGCAAUUUGUCUUCCUGUUGUUGUCAUGAUGAUGAAUGUUGACAUAUGGGCAGCCCACGAGAUGGAGGGCUGCCCCGUCAAGACCGCCCGCCAUCCAUCCGGCAGCAAUUGCGUCAGCGUCCGGGUGUGGAUUCGACAUGGAGACUUGAGUCAGGCCCCCACCAUUGAAAUCGCCUCCUUGAGAAAAGAGACCAUCCGGCCCGUCUUCAGAUACAAGAGAACAAA